AUGGGAGGGGCCGAGGGCCGGCAGCUGGCCUGGGGGGCCCACCGGUGCACUCCGCCCCCGCCGGAGACCAGCGAGGUCGAGAGCUUCUGCCGGGACAGGCUUGGGGGCGGCACUGGAGCCACAGCCGGGGAGGGGGGCGGGCCGUGUCAGGGGUGCUGGGGGGCGGGCGCGGGGGGCAGGCGGGGAGACACCCAACAAAGAUCCCAGGAUCGACUCCUGUCUCUUAUUUUUUUGUCACAUCUUUUUUUUUUUUUUUUUUUUUUUUUUUACUUAUUUAUGAUAGUCACACACACAGAGAGAGAGAGAGAGAGAGAGAGAGAGAGAGAGGCAGAGAGAGAAGCAGGCUCCAUGCACCGGGAGCCCAACGUGGGAUUCGAUCCCGGGUCUCCAGGAUCGCGCCCUGGGCCAAAGGCAGGCGCCAAACCGCUGCGCCACCCAGGGAUCCCCCGUCACAUCUUUAUUGAGACACAAUUCACGUCGUUCCCUGGGUGCGAGAACGUUCACAGGGCUGUGCGCCCAGCACCUCCAGAACCUUCCAUGAGCCCAACGGCACCCCGCCCCACUCCGUCACCCCCUCCCCGGCCCCCCGAGCCCCCUCCCCGUCCGGCACGUGUCCACGUGUGGACUCACGCCCCGUGGGGCCUCCUGUGUCCGGUUCCCUCCCUGAGCGUCGGGGGCUCGGGUCCGUCCCCGGGGUGGCGUGGGGGGGCCUCGCCCCCGUCGGAGGCCGAUCAGGCUCCCGCAUGGGGCGCACACGUGUGUUCCCUGCACCUGCCCACGGACAUCUGGGCUGUUUGGCAGCGUUUGGCGGCCGUGAGCAGCGGAGGCUUCAGUCCUGGCCUGUCUGUCCUGCCCAGCGCGGCCUCUGUGCCAGGGCCCCAGCACGUCCUUGCCCCGCGGGGAGCUGUGGCUCCUUUGUUCUGUGACGGCCUCCAAGGCCACGAGGCCCUUCAGAGGCAGGGAGGCCCGGAGCAGCUUCCUCCCCGGCCCCGGCCUUGGGGGCCUCCAUCUGGCUGCCAUCCGGGCAGGGCGUGCACCAGGCGGCUUAUCUCCCCACGCCAGCUGUUCCUGCCGGCCCGCGGGGGUCCCCCCACUGCUCCCCAGGUGAGCGGGAGGGAGGCCCGGAGGCCCCGGAGGAAGGAGAAGGGCCCCACCCGCCGGGGAGGAAGCUGCCCCUGGCCCAGCUCCUGCCCCUGGCCCAGCUCCUGCCCCAGCCCCUGCCCCUGCCCCUGCCCCUGCCCCUGCCCCAGCCCCUGCCCCUGCCUCUGGCCCUACUCCUGCCCCAGCCCCUGGCUCUGCCCCAGCUGA
rnacentral:lncRNA from 1 species